AGCGUUGUCCGGAAUCAUUGGGAGUAAAGCGCGUGCCGGCGGCCCGAUAAGUCCGCUGUGAAAGUCCAGGGCUCAACCCUGGGAUGCCGGUGGAUACUGUCGGGCUCGAGUCCGGAAGAGGAGUGUGGAAUUCCUGGUGUAGCGGUGAAAUGCGUAGAUAUCAGGAGGUACACCAGCGGUGUAGACGGCUUUCUGGACCAUUGCUGACGCUGAGACACGAAAGCGUGGGUA
rnacentral:rRNA from 1 species